UGCCUUGGAAACUGCCUUGACAAACAGGGAAGAGCCACCCAGCCGAGAAAUGUGACCCCAAUAGCCCCUGAUCUUCGAGGGUGGUGCUGGGGUGGAUCAUGGACCACAUAAUUGGGUGUUCUCGGUUCGGAGCAUGAGAGCUGGCGACGGAUUGCAAGAUAGACGGCUAACAAGUUCAUGUGUGUCUUACAGGUGACACACGUGUUUUGCAAAUGAGGAAGUAAAAAAGAAAUAUGGUUUACU